rnacentral:rRNA from 1 species
AACGAACGCUGGCGGCAGGCCUAACACAUGCAAGUUGAACGCUCUAGCAAUAGAGAGUAGCGCACGGGUGCGUAACACGUGGGAAUAUGCCCUUCACUACGGAACAACGUCGGGAAACUGACGCUAAUACCGUAUAAUGACUCCGGUCCAAAGAUUUAUCGGUGAAGGAUUAGCCCGCGUCUGAUUAGCUAGUUGGUGAGGUAAUGGCUCACCAAGGCUACGAUCAGUAGCUGGUCUGAGAGGAUGAUCAGCCACACUGGAACUGAGACACGGUCCAGACUCCUACGGGAGGCAGCAGUGAGGAAUAUUGGAAAAUGGGCGCAAGCCUGAUCCAGCCAUGCCGCGUGAAUGAUGAAGGCCUUCGGGUUGUAAAGUUCUUUUAAUGGUGAAGAUAAUGACGGUAGCCAUAGAAAAAGCCCCGGCUAAAUUCGUGCCAGCCGCCGCGGUAA